UACGUAGGUGGCAAGCGUUGUCCGGAUUUACUGGGCGUAAAGAGCGCGCAGGCGGUCGUUCAAGUCGCGUGUGAAAGCCCCCGGCUCAACUGGGGAGGGUCACGCGAUACUGAUCGACUCGAAGGCAGGAGAGGGUAGUGGAAUUCCCGGUGUAGUGGUGAAAUGCGUAGAUAUCAGGAGGAACACCGGUGGUGUAGACGGCUUUCUGGCCCGUAAUUGACGCUGAGGCGCGAAAGCGUGGGGAGCAAACAGG
rnacentral:rRNA from 1 species